rnacentral:rRNA from 1 species
AGAGUUUGAUCAUGGCUCAGGAUAAACGCUGGCGGCGUGAUGAGACAUGCAAGUCGAACGGAGGAUCAGGGCUUGCCUUGAUCCUUAGUGGCGGACGGCUGAGUAACGCGUAGGUGACCUGCCCCGAAGUGGGGAAUAACUGCCCGAAAGGGUGGCUAAUACCGCAUGUGGUGGUGUGUUCGAUCACACCAGUAAAGCCGCAAGGCGCUUCAGGAGGGGCCUGCGUCCGAUUAGCUCGUUGGUGGGGUAACGGCUCACCAAGGCGACGAUCGGUAGGUGGUCUGAGAGGACGAUCACCCAGACUGGGACUGAGACACGGCCCAGACUCCUACGGGAGGCAGCAGUCGGGAAUUUUGCGCAAUGGACGAAAGUCUGACGCAGCAACGCCGCGUGAGGGAUGAAGGCCUUCGGGUUGUAAACCUCUUUUGUCAGGGACGAUAAUGACGGUACCUGACGAAUAAGUCACGGCUAACUACGUGCCAGCAGCCGCGGUAAUACGUAGGUGACAAGCGUUGUCCGGAUUUACUGGGCGUAAAGAGCGCGCAGGCGGUCGUUCAAGUCGAGUGUGAAAGCCCCCCGGCUCAACUGGGGAGGGUCACUCGAUACUGAUCGACUCGAAGGCAGGAGAGGGAAGUGGAAUUCCCGGUGUAGUGGUGAAAUGCGUAGAUAUCGGGAGGAACACCAGUGGCGAAGGCGACUUCCUGGCCUGUUCUUGCGCUGAGGCGCGAAAGCUAGGGGAGCAAACGGGAUUAGAUACCCUAGUAGUCC